rnacentral:rRNA from 1 species
CCUACGGGUGGCAGCAGUGGGGAAUAUUGGGCAAUGGGCGCAAGCCUGACCCAGCAACGCCGCGUGAAGGAAGAAGGCUUUCGGGUUGUAAACUUCUUUUUACAGGGAAGCGAAGAAGACGGUACGUGUCGAAUAAGCCACGGCUAACUACGUGCCAGCAGCCGCGGUAAUGCGUAGGUGGCAAGCGUUGUCCGGAUUUACUGGGUGUAAAGGGCGUGUAGCCGGGCUGACAAGUCAGAUGUGAAAUCCGGGGGCUCAACCCCCGAACUGCAGUUGAAACUGUUGGUCUUGAGUAGCGGAGAGGCAUGCGGAAUGCGUGGUGUAGCGGUGAAAUGCGUAGAUAUUAGGAGGAACACCAGUGGCGAAGGCGGCCUGCUGGACGACAACUGACGGUGAGGCGCGAAAGCGUGGGGAGCAAACAGGAUUAGAUACCCGAGUAAUC